rnacentral:lncRNA from 1 species
UGGAAUCGUGAUACUUGUUGGCAGUUUUCAUGGCCGCACUUAUAAGCUUUUCAUGGCCUUCUAGAUCGAAUACUCUCAUCCAGGGAACGUAAUCUGAAAGAGUGAAGGAAUAAAGGUGUUGGAGUACAACGAAGAGUGAUUCAACGUGUUCUUCUUCUUCAAAUCCUGGCCCUCCAUCUUCUUUUCCUUCGCCAAAGUAUCUCCUAUUGAACAUCAUCUUCCUAAUAACGUUCCCGCAAUAAUGGCGGGUUGCAAGUCUUACAUCUACAACUGUUGCGGCAGAAGCACUUUUGCGGCAUUGGUUAUAAAUGAAUCGAACAAGAUUGUCAGCUUCUUCUCUUCUCUUAGAGAUUAAGGAGUUAAGUCGGGCUGAGCUCAACACGUGAGAAGCAACCAUCUUUCUCAUUUUCUUCCAUUGUUGACCCCAUGGCACGACUGCCACUGACAGGAAUCCACGGCUAGAGUACUCUGUCCCCAUUGUGAGCGGCCUCGUUGCAAAAAUUGAAUCGUUAUCUUUUAGAACUUCCAAGGCUAUUUCUGGGGAAGUCACUGGAAUCACAUGAACAUUUCCAAACCGAAUGCAAGAAAUAUUGGUGUUAAGUUCUUUCAUCACACUGUGUAUCCAUUUGAAGGUCGGCUUAUUCCUCCACAUCUCUGGAAGGUUCCCGACUAUUGGCCAUGCAGCCGGGCCUGGGGGCAGAGGUGGUUGCUUCAUUCUUUUCUGGUCCGUACUUCUUCGAAUCUGCUGGAUAAAUUCAUUCAUUUGCAAUAAAAUUAGUUUAUAUGUCAAAUAAAAAUAUACAAUUAUUGUUCCUAAUAAAUAAAUAAGGGAAACCGAAAAGUAAAUAUAAUAUACCUUGAACGGUUGAUUCUGAACGAAUGAAUGCAUGUCCAUCACAUACUUCCGAAUAGUUUUGGAUUUCAGGUGGAAGCUUGUUAGUGUAACAAGGGCAACAAGUAGCGUCACCCAAACAAUAUAUGUGGAUUCAAAAAUGGGAAUAUCUUCAAGAUAAGAAAGGAAAUCCAUAAUAUUAAUGAAGGCAAUUUUUGGAUUCAAGAGUAAAGCCAAACGAUUUGUGGCUAUCAAAACAAAAAAAAGCAAUUAAUAUUAUUCUUGAUGGAUAUUGAUUGAAUGAAGAGGGGGUUCUCCAUUCGUCAUUAUAUAUAGAAGGGUGGUAUGGGGUUGUCAAGUUCAACGAAACUCAUGAACAACGUUUUCGACAUGCAACUUGAUACAUGAUUCGUCUGUAUCUAUACUAAGAAAUAAAUUUAUGUUUUUCAAAAUUAGUCGUGUAGUGAUUUGUCUUCGGUCAUCACUCACCAACGGUCCAUUACAAAACUUAUCAUAAUCCCUUAAUGAAGUUCUGACUUAUAAUUAAGUGAAAGGAAUAUAUUCCACAGAUAGUUAAUUAAUUAGAGGGGAGAUUCAAUAUUGGCAACAAGAAAAGAAAAAUUCAAACUCUCAUUUUAUUAAGAUUAUCAUUAGUCUGGUUCUAUUCUCAUAGUUUAUUAUAUCUUGCUUUCUUUUAUCAUUUUUUUAUGUAGCCAUGCUUCAUCCCUUCAAGGCGCGGUUUCACAUCUUCAAUAUUGGCUGUGACGGACGGGUAGAUUGUUACCUUGGUUGAUAGAAUAAUCGAUGGAUUUUGCGACGAUGGUGGGUGGAGGAGUGAUCUCUAAGAAAAAAAGAAAAGCACAGUGUAUGGAUUCGAUAGAUUUUACAUUGUGACUAUAUAAUUGCUAUUAUAGCCAUAAAUCUUCUUUUUCUUUUUCCUUUUUUAAGGGAAUUUUAAGAAUGGAUAAAUAUCUUUUGUUGUGAUACUUUUUGCUAGAUAUAAAAGAUAAAAAAGAAAGCUAAAAAUUUGACCAAACAUUAUACUGCUAUCUUAAUCACUGCAAGAAAAAUGUUAUUUUAUUAAAAAAAUUUAGUCACAAAAGAUAACAAAUUAGUCAUCUUGUAUUUUCUGUGACAAAAAAUAUAUCGUCACAUGUUAGUCGUAAAAAGACCGUCUUAAAAAGUUCUAGUAACCAAAAUUAUUUUCAACAUAUUAAAAAUAUAUUUAUGUGACAAAAAUCAUUGCCUUAAAAUUAAGUUAAAAUUGUCACAAAUGGUAUUAAAAAUGGUCAAAUUAGAGAUUAAAAAAUACAAUUAAUGACACUUCAUAUUUGUCACAAUAAAUGAUUUAUAAUGACUAUAAUAUUUGUCUCAAGAGUUUGUAAAUAAAGUCUCAAUAAUUAUUAAAAAUCAUCAUUUGUGUGUUCAAAUAUAUAAUUAGCAAUGCUAUUUUUCUAUUGUUGAAGUUCACAUAUUGCGACGUUAUAUAAUUGUCUCAAGUAGUUGUGAUUUGUGAUAAUUUUUACAAAUAUAAUUGGUAAUUAAUUUAGUCUCAAUGUUUUUUAUAAAGGCAAUUUAUAUAGUCUCACAUAAUUUUAAUAACAAUAUGUAGCCAUAGAAAUCAAUUUUUUUUUUAAAUAAAGAAAGAUGAUAAAUUACAUACCAAGAUGAAGUGAACAAUAAUAGAAAGAUCCCCAAUUUCUAAAGUUCUUAUGAAGGAAUAUUUUUUUGGAGGGGGGAUCUAAUGUCAUCACACCUAAUUCCUAAAUCCAUUGGCCAAAUUGAAAAGCAAAUUCAUCUUCAUAUCCUAAUUUUGCAAAAGUUUCUCAAGAUCUGCUAAACUUCGCUUCCAAUUUCCUUCAUUUAUUGGCAUAUUUUAUGUUUUCUUUUACUAGAUUCCCUUAGGAAUUUUAUCAAACACUUGAUAAGCAUAAAAAUAUUCAAAUAAUAGCUCCAAGAAUUUCAAACCCCUAAUUUCACCAAACACAAUAUAUAUAUAUAUGAGUAGUUUUCUGGUCAGGGAUUUUAAAGGGCGGGAAAGUCUGGGAAAGCUUUAAAACCACACGGCUUUAAAUGCUUACAGUUUUAAGCCUUUAAAACCAUGUGAUUUUAAAGGUUUCCCGCACUUUAAAAUUCCUGAUUGGAACAUUUCUAUUAUGACAAAAAUUAAUACUUUUACUCAAUAAACAAUGCCCAGAUAAGGAAAUUGAACAAAAAAUUCGAGGAAAAGUUGAAAAUUAUUGUGAGUAGAAGAAAAGACAAUAUGGUUGUUUGUUAAACUAAUCCUGAAAUAAUCAUUCACACACACACACACACGUAAUUGCAAGAAGGGAGGAUAAAGUUGAGUAGUUUUUAACGUUAAGUGAAUAGACAGAGAGAAGAUUUAAGUUUUAUUUAAGUUUUAGUUUUUUUUUUUAUAUGUAUAUAUAAGAGCAUCUCUAAAAAAACUCUUCAAAUAAGAAUUUAUUACUUAUUUGAAGAGCUACAUCAAUAUUCAAGAUUCCAAAAGACACUCCAAUUAAGAUUCUUCAAUAAGAAAUGAUUAUCUCUAUUCAAUUUUGUAGAGCUGUUUUCUUACUCUUUAAUUUACAUUUAUUACUUUUUAUUAGAGGGAGAGAAAAAACAAAAAAGUACUUUAAUUACCAUUUACUUUCAUUUGAAAAAAUAUUUAUUUGAUUAAAAUAAUAUUAACUUAUUUCUAUUUGAAGAGUUUUUUGGAGAAUAACAUAUAAAAAUAAUAUUAUCUUAUUUCUAUUUGAAGAGUCUUUUGGAGAAUAAUAUAUUUUUUCAUUCUUCUUUUUACAACAUAGGUAAACUAAUAGAUAUUUAAAGAAUAAAAUUAAUAGAACUUUUUAGAAAUACUCUAUCUUAACUAUUUUAAGGUUUUUCAAAAAAUAAAAAAGAAGCUAUUAUAACCGGUGGCCGGUUAUAAAAUCACUUAAAAAAUAAUAAAAAAACGGCUGCAUGAGAUGCAGCCGCCGCGUUUUACAAGCGAACGCCACUCUUGAGGGCUUUUGACAGAUUCUAGCCAACGACAAGGCAGAUGAUGGUUGGUAGAAGAGAGUUGGCUGAAAAGAUAGAUUUGAUAGUCGGAAAAGAAUUAAUGAUGCGACACUUGGAGCGACCAAUUAAGAGUGAAUUUGAACAAGACGUCGUUUUUUUUCCACCAUGUCGCCAUUGUACUUGCUUGGGGUGAUUAAUUGCUUCAGGCUACAUGAAAACGAUGCGUUCUGCAACGAUAAACUUUUUUUUGUUUUUUGUUUUAACCUUCAAACUGUAAGUUAGUCAAGGUAUAUUUAAUUGCAUGGCAUAAAAUAAAUCGUCACGACAAAGGUUUUAGCCACCGAAAUUGUAUUCGUCGUUUAAAAUAAUAUAUUUUUGCCUAAAGUCUAUAUCAUAGUGCUUGUUUGAGGGAAUCGACGGCCGAGUAUUGCAACGGUGGUUGGCUGUAUUUUUUGGUAUAGGGCUAAUUUUGCACUAAGGGUGUGUUUGGACUUUGGAGUAUGUGAUUAUAGUGUAUUAUAAUACUUUUCACAUUAAUUUAAUAUCAAGGUCAUGUUUAGAAAGAAAUUGUAUUGAGAUAAAGGGGGUGUGCUAAUGCGGUAACUACCGUAUUAACGUUUUGCUUUUGCUUCUCUUAUUUAUUUAUUUAUUUACUUUUGCUUUUUUCAAUAAUAAUAAAUAAAUAUAACUUUUUAAUUUAAUAGAUUAUUUGAUAAUAUUAAUAUUUAUUUUUUAUUUUUACAUCAUAAUUAUUAAACUGCUUAAUUAAUAUUAAUUUAAAAUUAAUAACAAUAAAAAUAAUAACAUAAAAUAUCAUUCCGUUAUGAUAUUAUUUAGAGAUUAUUUGAUUAAAUUAUUCACUUUGAUCUUUAUUUCACAUUUUAUAUAUUUAAAAAAUACUAAAAAAUAAAUGUUAUGCUGCCGAAAAUAUAAGGCUAUAAGUUUCGAUCUUUACAAAAAAUUAUGAUACCUUUUAACAUUUAUACUAAAAAAUAAUGUUAAAUUUCUAAAAUUUAAGACUUCUAUAUUUAAUAUUUUUCUAUGUACUAAUAAAUAUUAUUUUCUAAAUAUAUAAUUUAAGUUAAUCAUAAAAAAUUAAUACAGUACAGUAUAACACCAAACGUUAUACAAUAUUAUUAUAAUACAAUGCUAAUACAAUAUAAUAUAAUACAAUACACCUGCAUUAAAAAUAAUUCAAUACAUCAUAAUUCAAUGCUAAACGCACCUUAAGGGAAAGAAAAAUGAUAUGGGCAUGAGAUUUGUUGAAUAUGCUGAGCAAUAUCCAUUAGACACAUGGGAUAGAUUUCAAGUAGUCAAGAACUAAUACUUUGAAUAAGAACUAGUGGCAUUAAAUAGUAAGUAUUGAUUCCUUCGGUGAAGUUAAGACUCUUAUAAUAUUUCGCUUUCAAAGUUGCCGGCUGGAUUCUUGAUACAAUUUAAAGCAAUGAAUCUCUGAACUCUUGGUUAUGGAGAAACUUCCUGCUGUUUCUCUUUCUUCAAAUAAUUAACGAUUACAAUGCGAUUUAUAUACGACGAAAAGAUCAACUUGUCCAAGUAAAAGCAAAUAUAUAUAAGGGAAAAAGACAAACACACCCCUAACGUUUAGACAAAGGGAUAAAAACCUCCCUAGCGUUUUAAAAAAGAUAUUCACACCCCAAUUUAUUAUAAUUUUACCAUUAUACCCUUUUAGUAUAAAAAAAACUAUUAGAUUAUCCAAUUUGUCUAUAUAUUGUUAAUAAAAUUAUAAAUAUACCCUCAUUACCUCAUUCUUCUAUUUAAAUUUUUAUCAAUAACCAAUUUUUAAAAAAGACAUCUACACACUUAAAAAAAUUGUAAAUAAAUUAUAAUUUUAAAAAUAAAAUUGAUUAUUAAUACUAUAAUAAAUAACAUAGAAAAUUAGUUAUAAAUAUACAAGUUUAAAUGAUUGACAUGUGGAGAAUUGUUAAAUAUACAAGUUUAAAGUUUAAAUAAAAUUGGUUAUUAAUAACCAAUUUUAUUUUUAAAAUUAUAAUUUAUUUACAAUUGUUUUAGGUGUAUAGAUUUUUUUUUUGAAAAUUGAUUAUUGAUAAAAAUUUAAAUAGAGGAAUUGGGCAAUGAGGGUAUAUUUAUAAUUUUUUUUUAUAAUAUCCAACUUGUCUAUUUAUAAUUUUAUUAAUAAUAUAUAGACCAAUUAGAUAAUCUAAUAAUUUUUUAUAUGCUAGAAGGGUAGAAUGGUACAAUUAUAAUAAAUUGGAGUGUGAAUAUCUUUUUUAAAACGUUAAGUGGGUUUUUGUCCCUUUACCUAAACGUUGGGGGUGUGUUUGUCCUUUUCCUUAUAUAUAAUAUAUGGAUUUAACUACCUUACAUUUCAUAUAAGGUACAGUCUUUUUUACUGAUAAUGAAAUUCAUAGUUCAGUUUUGUGAGCGACUGUACCUUACUAAAACAUAAGGUAGCAGUUCCCAUAAUAUAUUAUACUUGAAAUAAUUGUGUAGAAUUAGUAGAAGCAAAUACUUUAUUGAGAAAAAUCAAACCCGUCACUUACGACUUACGUUAAGAAAAUUGACGUGCGCGUUAGUUAAUUAAGAAUAAUGAUAGAGAGAAGGAGCUCACUCCAACCCCAGCAAUCCCAUAUGAAAGAGUAAACAGAAGUUAAAAUAAUGAUAAAAUUAUUCUAACUUUUGAAUUAAUGACAAAAUUUUGCACAAUAAAUUCGCUUUGGUCGGAUUGAGGCGAGUCUCGCUAAUUGGUGGGUUGAAUAUAAUUUUUCAUUAUUUAAUGUACAGAUCAGAAAGAUCACAUUUAGUUAUGGCAUAGAUCUUGUUAACUCAAUUGUAGUCAAGCAUAUAUUCUUUGACCACUAAAUAAAAAAAUAUAUAUAUUAUUUGGCCAUAAGAAUACGUGGAGUUGAUUCCUCACUUAAUAUUGAGUCCUUCGUUGAAGUCUAGACACUUAUUUCGUAGUCGUCAGCUUGAUAAAAUUGAAAGCACUGUAAUUACCAAGAACGCAAUUUUUUUUUUUUUUGACUUUCUGAAGGAAUUAUAUUGACUUCUUCGUUCUAAUUUGACUGGAAACUACGUAAGUUAUCAAGUAAUUCACUAUGAAAAAUUUAGAAUAAUUAUUUGGGAAGACUGUAGUGUAUUAAUUAUAUCAUAUAUGGGAAGGUCAGUUUAAACGACUCGUUGAAACAUGUAGCACCAUUUUUUUUUUCUUUUAAAAUAUGUGUUGCACAAUAGGAAAACCUCAAUAAAUUGAUAAUUUUGAGUAAACUAAGUUUGCUAGUUUCGUGUUCAGACAGAUAGGCUAAAUACAAUUUUACUAAAUUUAUAAGAUAAUGCACUAUAGAAAAAUAUUUGUAGUUUCAUAUAAGACAACUUAGUCUUGACCUAUUUAAUACUUAUAAGUUUGAGAUAAUUUUCAAUUUAUAAGCUAAAUUUUGAGUAUGAAUUAGACACAAGCUUCUAUGUGCUAUCGAUGCCAAACUCAUCCACAAGUGGAAUCACGCUACCUUUUUCAUAUGAUAAGAAUUAUGUAGAAAGAUCAAGUUGCACGUAAUAGAAGGUGUUAAGAGAAAAAUCUCAUAUUAGUUGUAAUGAACCUUUAGAUAUUUAUAUAACCCUAAGGUAAUUCUUGACUCUUGAACUAGUUACUAUGUAUGAGUUUGGCCAUGAACUUUUAUAUAGUAUUAUAACCAAAAUCUUGUAAGAGUUGGCUCACGCAAUCUUACCAGAUGAUAGGGACUAAUAAAAAUGAUCAAUCAGCAUGUAAUUAGAGAUGAUAGGGAAAACAUCCAAUGUUAAUUGAGAAAAAUAUUGAGUAUGAAUUAGGCUUAUGAUAUCAUAGAAAAACUCAUCCAUGAGUGGGCCAUGACAUCUCUAUUUCUGACUAUAAAGAAGCACAAACUUUAAAUUAUUAUUAUUAUUAUUUUUGGGUUUAAUUUCAAGCUCCAGUUUUUCUUGUACUAGUUAAUUUAGUUCGUUACAUUGAACAACAGUUCUUCAUUGAAAUCAGUUUCUGGAGAGGUUUAUAUGUACACACAAUCCUCGAGUGAAAUAGAGAUUACGACAAACCCUGUUGAAAAUAAAUCUAUCAUACAAAAAGAAAGGAGUUAAUGUGUUAUCCAAUUCGAGAAUCAUUGGGCUCGACCUGUUGGUGUGCAUUCUAUAGCAACAUUAACCAAAAUAUUGAUGUGCCUAAAUAAGACCAACAGUCUAGUUAAAUGGCAUCAAGGUAGUAACUUGAAUCAUUCAAAACAUUAGCAGCAAAAAUAUUGCAAAAGAAAAAAAUAAAAAUAAAAGGCAGAGCAAACAAUAUAAUAUAGAAAUAAAUAACGAAAAUAGCAAAUGUAAGUGCCAAAAUAUUUAGCCAUGUGUCUAAAAAUAUUUUAAGGAAUAUAUUUAAGAACAAGUAAGAUUACUCCGGAUCCAAACUAGAGUAAAACCAAGACGUGAUCACAUAAAGAAUUACACGACUACCCAUACAAAACUCGGAAAAGAUUGUUGAUCUAAUGAAAAAAAUGUAAUAAUAAGUGCACAUGAUUACUAAUAACAUCACGUAUGGAAAACUUGAACACACCCAAAAAAAAGGUUAUAAAAUCUAAUGGUGUAAAAUAUAACAAAAACAAGGAAAGGCAGAGAUUUAUAUCUAAAAUCAAAUCUCUUGUUAAGUCCACUCUUUUCGAUCUAUAAAUACAAGUCAAAAGGAUUGAGAAGGGACUUUUAGCUAUUUUUUCACUCAAAAAAGAGAAAACUAGAUCCGGAUUUACUAGAAUUCACUGAACACAAAAUUGACAAGAGCAUUGGAAUGCCUUUGCAGGCACACACUCAAGUUACGAUGAUCUGCAGAGAAAAUGUUGAAGACGAGAAGGAAUCUCAUGCAUUCAAAAGAAUCAGGUUUAAUUCAAAUCGAUACUUCUUUCAUGUUAUGAUCCAGUCUAUUGAAGGAUUUUUUAUCCUUCAGUCAACAAUUUUCCUAUUGGGAAGGCAGAAGUGACAUUGAUCUAGUCACAAGUAAUAACCUGAGUUGUCCUACAAAUUCAUCUGUACUAAGAGUAUCCACGGAUGAACGUUUGUUUAUUAAAAAAAAAAAAACACAGCACAUAAUAAUACAAACAUCAGAAAAUUGUACUUGGAUAAGGAUGGAGAGAGAGAAAGAUGUAUUUCGAGAUGGCAAAGCUUUCAAGAUAGAUAAAUCGUGAGAUAAUGGAGAAUUACAUUAAAUUAAAGAAUUAAGAUAACAUAAAGAACGGUUAACAACAUAUACAAUUCAAGAAUUUUAAUAUGAGGUUAAAUAACUUCUCAUCAUUUAAUUAUUAUGGUGCGUUUGAGAUUGAGAUCGACUAAAAUAUUUGGUAAACACUAGCUGCUGUAUCUUGGAAGCUAUAUUGAUAUGAUUUUUCACUUGUAUAAUGGAAAUCUAUUAUAUAUUUAAUUAUUUUAUCAAAAUUAUUGUUUUAAAUUUACAUUUAUUAUAUAUUACUAACUUUUUUUUUAUAGUAAUCGAUUUUUCCACAGGAACUGUAGCUUAAAAGUUAUAGCACCUCAAUUCUAAUCGUACCCUUGGUACAACUCAGCAGCCAACCGGGGCUUUGCACGUGCACGCAACGGCUUAGCCAUAAGGAGGUCGUAUUUUGAUUCGGACAGGUCAAUCUUCUCCUCACCCGAUGGCGCGCUCCAUUCAAACCCUUGAAGAAGCCUUGCCAAAAGCACUACAGACAUCUCAGACCCAAGUGCCAUGCCCAUGCAACUGCGCCUUCCUCUGCUGAAUGAAAGGAAUCUUAAUUCUGUUUCCGCCAACUCUAAUUGAUGAUGAUGAUCGUCCACUGAACCAAUAUGACGUUCAGGUAUGAAUUUCAAUGAAUCUUUCCAGACGUUAGGGUUCCGGCCAAGCCCUAUUCGGCUCAGCAGAACGUGACUGCCUUUGGGAAUGAAGUAACCGGCGAUAGUGGCAUCGCGAGUUGAAACAUGAGGCAGGUUAAACGGUGCCACGGGAUGAAGGCGAAGCACUUCCCUUAAACAAGCUUUGAUAUAAUUGAGCUGCGGGACGUCAGAUUCCUGAACAAGUCUUUCUUUUCCAACAACUCUAUCGAUCUCCUCUGUUGCUUUUUGGAGAAUUUCAGGCUGGUUGAUCAUCUCCGCUAUUGCCCAUUCUGCUGCAUUCGAUGGAUUAUCCACUGUUGCAAGUGUCAGAUCCUGCAAGUACGUACAUAUGUUAAUUUAUCGAUCAGUUAAUUUGUCAUUAAAAUUCGAGACCGCGACCUGAUUAUAUAUAACAUGAGCAAUUAAUAAUAUAAAAAUUAAUGUAUUAAAUAAACAAGAUAUCCAACGUACCAUGCAUUGAGAUUUGAUCUCAUCUAUGGAUAACAAUGGAACCCCAUUUUCAUCAUUUGCUGAAAUAAGAACAUCUAGCAAGUCCUGGUCCUUGUGAGCUUCCUUUUUGUUGUCAUGAUGACGUCUCCGUUGGUGUACUCUCUCAUCUAUAAUGGAAUCGUGAUACUUGUUGGCAGUUUUCAUGGCCGCACUUACUUUCUCAUUUUCUUCCAUUGUUGACCCCAUGGCACGACUGCCACUGACAGGAAUCCACGGCUAGAGUACUCUGUCCCCAUUGUGAGCGGCCUCGUUGCAAAAAUUGAGUCGUUAUCUUUUAGAACUUCCAAGGCAAUUUCUGGGGAAGUCACUGGAAUCACAUGAACAUUUCCAAGCCGGAUGCAAGAAAUGUUGGUUUUAAGUUCUUUCAUCACACUGUGUAUCCAUUUGAAGGCCGGCUUAUUCCUCCAAAUCUCUGGAAGGUUUCCGACUAUUGGCCACGCAGCCGGGCCUGGGGGCAGAGGUGGUUGCUUCAUUCUUUUCUGGUCCGUACUCUGCUGGACAAAUUCAUUCAUUUUCAAUCAAAUUAGUUUAUAUGUUGAAUAAAAAUAUACAAUUAUUGUUCCUAAUAAAUAAGUAAGGGAAAUCGAAAAAUAAAUAUAGUAUACCUUGAACAGUUGAUUCUGAACGAAUGAAUACAUGUCCAUCACAUACUUCCGAAUAGUUUCGGAUUUCAGCUGAAAGCUUAUUAGUGUAACAACGGCAACAAGUAGUGUCACCCGAACAAUAUAUGUGGAUUCAAAAAUGGGAUUAUCUUCAAGAUAAGAAAGGAAAUCCAUAAUAUUAAUGAAGGCACUUUUUGGAUUCAAGAGUAAAGCCAAACGAUUUGUGGCUAUCAAAACAAAAAAGCAAUUAAUAUUAUUCUUGAUGGAUAUUGAUUGAAUGAAGAGGGGGUUCUCCAUUCGUCAUUAUAUAUAGAAGGGUGGUACGGGGUUGUCAAGUUCAACGAAACUCAUGAACAACGUUUUCGACAUGCAACUUGACGCAUAAUUCGUCUGUAUCCAUAUUAAGAAUUAAAAUUAGUCAUGUGGCGAUUUGUCUUCGGUCAUCACUGACCAACAGUCUAUUACAAAACUUAUUUUAAUUCCUUGAUGAAGUUCUCAUGACUUCUAGUGAAAGGAAUAUAUUCCACAGAUAGUUAAUUAAUUAGAGGGGAGAUUCAAUAUUGGCAACAAGAAAAGAAAAAUUCAAAUUAUCAUUUUAUUAAGAUUAUCAUUAUUCUGGUUCUAUUCUCACAGUUUAUUAUAUCUUGCUUUCUUUUAUCAAUUUUUUUUUUAUGUAGUCAUGCUUCAUUCCUUCAAGGUGGUUUCACAUCUUCAAUAUUGGCUGUGAUGGGCGGAUUGAUUGUUAUCUUGGUUGAUAGAAUAAUCGAUGGAUUGUGCGACGAUGGUGGGUGGACAGUGGAGGAGUGAUCUCUAAGAAAAAAGAAAGAAAAGCAUAGUUUAUGCAUUCGAUAGAUUUUACGCUGUGACUAUAUAUAUAAUGGCUAUUAUAGCCAUAAAUCUUCUUUUUCUCUUUUUUUUAAGGGAAUAAUUUGAAGAAUAGAUAAAUAUCUUUUUUUUUUUUGGUACAAUAAGUAGCCCAAACAAAGCUAAGCAAGAUAAAUAUGUUUUAGGGUUAUUUUAGGGACCUCCCCUGAAGUUUAGUGUAUUUACAGUCGGAUAGAAAGUAUCCACGUAAUUACAAGCACCUUCCCUACCGUUAGUAUCCAAUUAGUUUGACUGUUAGUAGACCGUUAAAAUUACAAAAGUACUAUUCCCCUCAAAAUAAUAAGUUUUUUUUUUCAGACUGGUUCUCCAUUUUCAUUGAAAUUUUCUCUCACUUCCUCUCACUUUUUCUUGACCUCCAAACAAAAACAUUUUUUAAUUAUUCAUCAGUAAACAAUAGGAUAACAAGAUGCAGCAAAGCAAGCAAAACUUUAAAACUACAUCAAAUACAAAAAGAUCCACACAGCCCCAUCCAUAACCUUAUUCAAAUCCCAAAUGGUCUGCAAUCAACUGAAACUAAUCUGUUUCUUUCCUCCAACUUUCCCACCACCCAAACACACACUCCUACGAAAUUUAAACCACAUCCUAGUACAGAUCAAUCUCAGUUACAAUUACACAAGUACCGGCUUGCUUCAAAGUAGCAACACAACCAUUGCCAACAUCACCAUAACCGCAAACAACAACAACAUUUCCGGCAAUCAUAACAUCAGUAGCUCUCAUCAAACCAUCGAUGGAAAACAAAACAAUAAAAUGGAUCAUCAACCACGUCAAAAAAUGAAGAUGAUUAAAAUAAUGAUCUAUCGAUCAUGUCGAACGGCAACCAUUGAUGAUGACGUGGGGAAGUAAUUGUGGUACCUACUGCCGUAUAACACAGUGGAUCGACGCCGUUGGAGCAUGCCGUAGUAUCAGAGAGCCGACGUCAGAACUAAAAUUAGGUUGACGAAUAAGCAUGCAAAUUGUCGAAACACGUACGCGCUCUUUUUGAAAACUACGCUCAUCGUUACCGAUACCGUGUCUUCGAACCUAAUCAUGUCCUCAUUUUCAAUCUUUUCUUUGAGAUCAUGUGCCACUCACUUUGUGCUAGUGUGACAAUGAAUUUGAGAUCUGAAGCAAAUCAAAGUAAAUUACCUUGCUAUUGGUGACAGAGUCAUUGACAUUGAUGGCAUGGAACAAGAGGGUUCCAUUUUCUUGCAUCUGGUACAACCAAUCUGAAACUCGGCGUUGUCAGUGGAGGCCGGGUCGGGUAGCUUCCGAGUCUUCUCGUAGAUCUCCUCAACUUUGACUCUCUCGUGGAUCAACAACAUGGCGUACCACCGUCGUCAAUGAUGAGAUCUGGGCCGCCGCCGGGACCCUAGUCUAGAGCUUUCUCCGUGCACCACCAAUACUCCUAGAGGGUCUCGCCCUUCCAAGCGAAGACGGAGGCAAAGUUACGUACAAUGGCGGCUGCCACGUGGUCUUGGGUUGAGAAGAUAUUGCAGGACCACCAGCGGACUUUGGUGUCGAGAGCGGUGAGGGUUCCGAUGAUGUUGGCUCCUUUGAAGGGCUAUGAAAGGGCCGAAUCAACAAAAUCAUCGCACUUUUGAUUUUUUUAUUUUAAAUAUAUUUUUACACAUUUACCCUUACAUACUGAUGCCAUACGUAUUUGAAUACUAACGUCAGGGGAGAUCCCUGUAAUUAAAUGCAUACUUUCUAUCUGACUGUAAAUACACUAAACCUUAGGGGAGGUCCCUUAAAAUAACCCAUAUAUUUUAUUGUGAUACUUUUUGCCAGAUUUAAAAGAUAAAAAGGAAAGCUAAAAAUUUGACCAAACAUUAUAUUGGUAUCUUAAUUAAUUUCUUGUCGAUAUCCUAGAACCACUAACGCACUUCCACAUCUUCACUCUUUCGGCGCAAAAUAUUAUUCAGCCCCCUAUACUCUAUAUUAUUUACAAUUAUUUAUAAGUAUUAUAAAACUUUCUGUCUAGUAAAAUUUUGUUGAACCCCUUGUACUCUGUUUUAUUUUAAUCAAACUCUUGGAGUACCAAUUUACCCUCUAUACUUUUAAAUUCCCAAAAUACCCUACAUUUAAUUAAAAAAUAUAAUAAUUAUUAAAUAAAUUAUAAUUAUAAUUAUAAUAAUUGUUUAUUAUAAUUAUAUUUUUUAAAUGGAUUAUUAUUAUUAAUAUUAUUAUUAUUAACAAGAAUAAAAAGUAUUAUAAUAAAUUAAUCUAUUAAUUUUUUAGUUAAAAUAUUAAUAAUAAUAAUUAACAAUAAUUACUAUUAAUAAUUAAUUUUUGAAUAAUAAUAACAAUAACAAUAAUUAAAAUACAAAAUAAUAAUUAUGAUAAAAAUUAAUGAAGGAUUUUAUACUAAUUUGUUACAAUUUAAUUUAUUCUGAUUUUUAUUCUAAGACAAAGUAAACACAUAAAUGGUAAUACAACUCAUUCUAAUUAUGAUUCCUGCCGUUCAAGUAAAUAAAUUAUUCUAAUUCCAAUUUCUCAUUUGAAUUCUAGAUAUUUCGAUUUUAGCUUAUUAUGUUUUCAGUUAAUUUUUAUUCAUGUUUAGUGAAUGCACUAUAAAAUUCAUAAUACUUAUAAAAAAACUGUAAAUAAUAUAGAGUGGUCUAAUUGAAUAUAAAUUGAUUUACAAUUUUAUAGUGCAUUCAUUAAAAAUGAAUCGAAAUUAGCUGGAAACAUAAUGAGUUAGAAUUGGAAUAACUAUAAUUAAAAUAAAGAAUUGGAAUUAAAACAAUUUAUUUACUUGAACUGCAUGAAUCGUAAUUAGAAUAAACGGAUGUACGGUACAGCAGACCUGGAGAUUAAGGAAAAACCUAGGCAAACAAAAGUCAAGACAAGAAGAGCAUUCCGAGUCAUGAGAGAGCCAAUUAUUAUUAUUGGCAUUUUAACUAAAAAUUAUUAUUAAUUAUUGUUAAUAGAUUAAGAAAUUUAAAAUUAUAGGGGGUGAAUUAGUACUCUAAUAAAGGUUUCAAUAAAAUAAAACAGAGUAUAAGAGGCUCAAAGACAUUUUACAAGACAAAAAAUUUUAUAAUUCUUAUGAAUAAAUUGUAAAUAAUAUAGAGCAUAUGGGGCUAAUUGAUAUUUUGGGGGUCAGCCGUAAGUUACGCUGAAUGUAACUUAGGCGGACCCCACUCUUAAGGGCUUUUGGUGGAUUCGAGCCAACGACAAGUCAGAUGAUGGUUGGUAGAAGGGAGUUGACUGAAAAUUGUGGGAAAAGACUUAGUGAUGCGACAUUUGGAGUGACCAAUUAAUUGUGAAUUUGAACUGGUCAUCCUUUUUUGCACCUUGUCGCCGUUGUACAACUUGUACUUGCCUGAGGUGAUUAAUUGCUUCAAGCUACAUGAAAACGAUGCGCUUUGCAACAAGAAGCCUUUUUUUUUUUUUUUUUUUUUUUUUUUUUUUUUUUAAAAAAUUUUUUUUUUUUUUUUUUUUUUUUUUUUUUUUUUUUUUUUUUUUUUUUUUUUUUUUUUUUUUUUUUUUUUUUUUUUUUUUUUUUUUUUUUUUUUUUUUUUUUUUUUUUUUUUUUUUUUUUUUUUUUUUUUUUUUUUUUUUUUUUUUUUUUUUUUUUUUUUUUUUUUUUUUUUUUUUUUUUUUUUUUUUUUUUUUUUUUUUUUUUUUUUUUUUUUUUUUUUUUUUUUUUUUUUUUUUUUUUUUUUUUUUUUUUUUUUUUUUUUUUUUUUUUUUUUUUUUAAAAAAAACUUCAAACUUAGUCUCUGAAAAUUGCAAGCUAGUCAAGGUAUAUUUAAUUAUCUGAAAAUUGCAAGUUAGUCAAGGUAUAGUUAAUUGUAUGGCAUAAAAUAAAUCGUCAUGACAAAGGUUUUAGCCACCGAAAUUGUAUUCGUCGUUUAAAAUAAUAUAUUUUUGCCUAAAGUCUAUAUUAUAGUGCUUGGUUGAGGGAAUCGACGGCCGGCCACUGCAACGGUGGUUGGCUGCAUUUGUUUUGUAUAGGGCUAAUUUUGUACUAAGUGAAAGGGUAAAAAAAUGAUAUGGGCAAGGGAUUGGUUGAAUAUGCUGAGCAAUAUCCAUUAGACACAUGGUACAGAUUUCAACUAGUCAAGAACUAAUAAUUUAGUAAGAACUAGUGGCAUUAAAUAGUAAUUAUUCGGUGAAGUUGAGACUCUUAUAACAUUUCGCUUUCUAAGUUGUCGGCUUGAAUCUUGAUGCAAUUAAAAACAAUGAAUCUCUGAACUCUUGGUUAUGGAAAAACUUCUUGCUGUUUCUCUUUCCCGAAAUAAUUAAUGAUUACAAUGUGAUUUAUACAUAAGAAAAGGAUCAACAUGUCGAAGUAAAGCAAAUAUAUACAAUAUAUUAUACUUGAAAUAAUUGUGUAGAAUUGAUAGAAGUGAAAACUUUAUUAAGAAAAAUCAAACCCGUCACUUGCGUUAAGAAAAUUGACGUGGGCAUGCAUGAGAGCUGAAUUGGUUAAUUUAGAGUAAUGAUAGUGAGAAGGAGCUCACUCCAACCCCAGCAAUCCCAUAUGAAAGAGUAAACAGAAGUUAAAAUAAUAAUAAAAUUACUCUAACUUUUGAAUUGAUGGCAAAAUUUUGCACAAUAAAAUCGCUUUGGUGGGAUUGAGGUGAGUCUCGCUAAUUGAUGGGUUGAAUAUAAUUUUUCAUUGUUUAAUGUACAGAUCAGAAAGAUCACAUUUAGUCAUGGCAUAGAUCUUGUUAACUCAAUUGUAUUCAAGCACAUAUUAUUUGACCACAAGAACACGUGGAGUUGAUUAUUCACUUAAUAUUGAGUCCUUCGUAGACAUUUAUUUCCUAGUUGUCAGCUUGAUAAAAUUGAAAGCAGUGUAAUUACCAAGAACGUAAUUUUUUUUAACUUUUUGAAGGAAUUAUAUUGACUUCUUCGAUCUAAUUUGACUGGAAACUAUGCAAGUUAUCAAGUAAUUUACUAUGAAAAAUUUAGAAUAAUUAUUUGGGAAGACUAUAAUGUAUUAAUUAUAUCAUCUAUGGGAAGGAAUUAUAUUUACUUCUUCGGUCUAAUUUGACUGGAAACUAUGCAAGUUAUCAAGUAAUUUACUAUGAAAAAUUUAGAAUAAUUAUCUGGGAAGACUAUAAUGUAUUAAUUAUAUCAUAUAUGGGAAGGCCAGUUCAGACGAGUCGUUGAAACAUGCAGCACCAAUUUUUUUUUUAAUAUGUGUUACACAAUAGGAAAAUCUCAAUAAAUUGAUCAUUUUGAGUAAACUAAGUUUGGUAGUUCCGAGUUCAGACAAAUGGGCCAAAUAAAAUUUUACUAAAUUUAUAAGAUUAUGUACUAUAGAAAAAUAUUUGUAGUUUCAUAUAAGACAACUUACUUUUGGCCUGUUUAAUUCUUAUAAGUUUGAGAUAAUGUUCAAUUUAUAAGCUGAAUUUUGAGUGUGAAUUAGACACAAGCUUCUAUGUGCUAUCGAUACCAAACUCAUCCACAAGUUGAAUCACGCUACCUUUUCAUAUGACAAGGAUUAUGUAGAAAUGCCAACUUGCACGUGACAGAGGGUGUUAAGAGAAAAAUCUCAUAUUAGUUGUAAUGAAUCGUUAGAUAUUUAUAUAAUCCUUUUCAUAUGAUAAGGAUUAUGCCAUGGACUUCUAUAUAGUAUCAUAACCAAAAUCUUGUAAGAGUGGACUCACACUAUUUUACUAGAUGAGAGGGACUAAUAAAAAUGACCACCCUGCAUGUAGUUAGGGAUGAUAGGAAAAUCAUCCAAUGUCAAUUGAGAAAAAGAACUAUAUUUUGAGUAUGAGUUAGGCUUAUGAUAUCAUAGAAAAAUUCAUCCACGUAUGGGCCAUGACAUCUCUAUUUCUCACUGCCAAGAAGCACAUACCUUAAAUUAUUUCAUAGUUUUUUUUUGUGGUUUCAAUUUCAUGCUCCAGUUUUUGCUGUACCAGUUAAUUUAUUUCGUUAUAAGCCAUAAAGGUAUUCCUAUGGUACAUUGAACAACAAUUCUUCAUAACAAUCAGUUUAUGGGGAAGUUUAUAUGUACACAAAAUCCUUGAGUGAAAUAGAGGUUACAACAAACUCAAUUGAAAAUAAAUCUAUCAUAGAAACAAAAAGGAGUUAAUGUGUUAUCCAAUUUCAAGAAUCCUUGGGGUGAACCUGUUGGUGUGCGUUCUAUAGCAACAUUAACCAAAAUAUUGAUGUGCGUGAAUAAGACCAACAGUCUAGUUAAAUGGCACAGGGUAGUAACUUUAAUCGUUCAAAACAUUAGUAGCAAAAAUAUUGCAAAAAAAAAAAAGAGUGAAAGACAGAACAAGCAAUAUAAUAUAGAAAUAAAUAAUGAAAAUAGCAAAUGCAAGUGCCAAAAUAUUUAGCUAUAUGUCUAAAAAUAUUUUACAAAAUAUAUCUAAGAACAAGUGAGAUUACUCCGGAUCCAAAUUAGAGUAAAACUAAGAUGUGAUCACAUAAAAAAUUACACAACAAGCCAUACGAAACUCCGAAAAGGUUGCUGAUCUAAUGAAAAAAAUGUAAUAAUAAGCACACAUGAUCACUAAUAACAUCAUAUGUCAGAAAACUUGAACACACCCAAAAAAAGGUUAUAAAAUCUAAUGGUUUAAAAUAUAGCAAAAACAAGAAAAGAUAGAGAUUUAUAUCUAAAAUCAAAUCUCUCGUUGAGUCCACUCUUUUCGAUCUAUAAAUGCAAGUCAAAAGGAUUAAGAAGAGACUUUUAGCUAUUUUUUCACUCAUAACAGAGAAAACCAUAUCCAAAUUUACUAGAAUUCACUAAACACAAAACUAACAAGAACAUUGGAAUGCCUUCGCAAGUACACGCUCAAGUUAUGAUAAUCUGCGGAGAAAAUGUUGAAGACGAGAAGGAAUCUCACGCAUUCAGAAGAAUCAGGUUUAAUUCAAACAGUUACUUCUUUUAUAUUAUCCGGUCUAUUGAAGGAUGUAGAACUUAAGGUGCUAUAAACAAAUCAAGCAACCUUAGAUCCUACCCAAGAUCACCAACCAAAUUUAUCAAGAUGCUUCAAGAUUGAUAACUGAAGAACUUGACUAAGAUUAAUCAAUGGAAUGUGACAAUUAACCGACUAGAAUUAAGAAAACAAAAGAUAUAGAAUGGACAAAAAACAAGAGAGAUUUAACGUGGUUCAGCUAGAUCUCUCUAGCUUACAUCCACGGGAGGGCAAAUAUGACCAGCUUUGAUUGAUUCUCAAGAUGAUUUACAGAGUAAUGCUAUGAGCCUUUACACAAGAUCGAGACUGCUUAUUUAUUCCAGCCCUUUCUCUCUCUACAACUCUCUAUCCUUUUGAAUCUGUUGCACCAGAAUCAGCUGCUUCAUAACAGCUUCAUAACAAACCCAGAACUUCCCCAGCAACUCACGUGAGUUCCUAAUGCUUUAACGACAUUUAACGAACCUUGUGAGCUGGAUACAAGCACGUGAUGUUCGCAUGCUUCACUUAAGGGUAAAUGGCAAGCUUGUAUAUAGGGGUGGGCGCGGUUUGGUUCCGUUCGGUUUUUUACUAAAUUUUUCAUAAUCGUUCGAUUACGAUUAUUUUAAAAUCAUAAUCGCGAUUAAUCAAAUUAUCGAAAUAAUCAAAUAUUCGAUUAAUUGAAAUAAUUCGAUUCGAUUCGGUUCAAUUAUUUCGAUUAUGGGCUUAUUUUGGGCUUUUUUAAAUUUAAAACCUUAAAUUAAUAAAUCUACCACAAACAUAAAAAGUUAACAAACAAAAAAUCAAAAUAUGUCUCAAAGUAUAUUCAAGAACACAUAACAUGUUCAAAUACCAAGUUCAAAUCAAAAUAAAUAAGCAAAAAGUCUUUUAAACUUUAACAAAACUACAAAAGCAAUAAACAUCAAUCAACUCCCAAAUCCCAAUUACUCCUCUCAGUUGCUUGUUCUUGUUGAGCUACUAUUGGCCUACCAAAUUCUACAUUAACAAAUUAAACAAAAAUAUUAGACCGAUUAGUUAAGAGUGAAAUAACCAAAACAAUAUAUCAAAAUAUAGUAGUAACAUAUUACCUGCUUCAAUGACUUCAUAGAAUUCAGUUUCCUCCUAAGUAGGUUGUAUUAUCUGUUCUACUAAUAGAGUUUAGCGAAGCCAAUUUUAAGUGCAAAUCAAUGACUCAACAGUUUUAUGAGUUAAAGAACUUCUAAAAGGAUCAAGAACACGCCCUCUUGUGCUAAAUGCCAAUUCCGAAGCUACAGUAAACAUUGGAAUUGCCAAAACAUCCUUGGCAAUCUGAGACAAAAUUGGAUACCUAUGCCCAUUCAACUUCCACCAAGUCAAAAUAUCAAAAUGGGCAUUACUAGUACUCUCAUUAGCAUCCGUCAAGUACUUUUCAACACCAUUUUUUGAACUAAUGUCAUCAUUUGAACUUUGCUUCAUCUUUUGAAAGAUGAAAAAAGAUCAAUUGACAUUAUACUACUACUAGCACCACCACCACCACCACCACCACCACUACUACCAUCAUGGAUAUCACCAAAACAAACACCACCACUAUUCCUCACAUCACUCCCACCAAUAUAGCUAUUAUAUAGCUUCAUCAACAACUCUUUAAUGUUAGAUUUCAAUUCUUCAACCUUCCUAAAUUCAUACAUGCUACUAAAACAAACUCCAAUUUACAUAUAGGAUCAAGCACAAUUGCUACAAAUAAUAACAUGUUAACCUAAUCAAAAGAAUCACCCCAAUAUUUAGCAAACUUUUGUUCCAUUUUUUUGGCCAUUUUCCUCAACAAAUCAUCACUAGAAGUAGCAAGUGACUUCAAAUGAAUUAGAACUUUUGCCAUUUCAUUUAAGUAAUCAUUGGAAGUGACAUCAAGAGAGCUACUAAAUUUCAAGGUCAUAUAAUAAAAAACCGAUAAAAAGUUGACUAACCUCCUUGCAUUUCCCCAAUUGUCAUCGCUCGGUGGCCCCUCCCUCUUUUUUUCACCCUCAUCCUCAACAAACCAAUUAACAUAAUGUUGAUCAUCUUCCUUCAUCCUAUCAAAUGUUUUUUCAAACACAGCCGUUUUGUGCAACAUCAAAUAUGUUGAAUUCCAUCUAGUAGGCACAUUCAACACCAUAAGCCCUCCAUAUGAGAUUUUCUCCCUACCAACACAUGUUUUAAACUUUUGCAAUCUUGCUGGAGAGGAUCUAACAGACUUUAUUGCAUUGCGAAUACUAGCUAUUGAAUGAUUCACCUCCGCCAACUCAUCUUGCACAAUCAAAUUUAUUAUGUGUGCCGAACACCUCACAUGCAUAUAUAAACCAUUCAAAACCAUUGAAUUCACACUCCAAUUUGCUAACUUCUUCUUCACAUAAAUUAUUGCAAUUUUAUUGGCACUUGCAUUGUCCACUGUAAUUGUGAACGACCUCUAAAUCCUCCAAUCAAUCAAACAUGUCUCAAUUAGCUUCCCAAUACCAUCUCCUUUAUUAUUAGCUAUAGGUGUGAAACUAAGAAUCCUUUUGUGCAACACCCACUCCGCAUCAAUAAAAUGAGCAGUAAUGACCAUGUAGUUAGACAGUUGAAUUGAUGUCCAUGUAUCUGUGGUAAUACACACCCUUUGCUUGCUUGCACCCAAAACACUUUUUAACAACCCUUUUUCAUACUGAUACAAUUCAAGAAUAUCCCUUGUAAUUGUUCUUCGCGAUGGCACAUCAAAUCUUAGGCAACAAGUUUGCAUAAACUCUAAAAACCCUUCAGCCUCCACAAAGCUAAAAGGUAAUUCAUCCUUGACAAUCAUCUUCACAAGUGCCAUUUUACAAGCCUCUUGACUAAACCCGCCACUAACUUUAACAACUCCAUCAUCUUUAUCUUUUCCCUUUUGACGGAAAAGUAUUUGUUGCUUCAGAUCCCCUUCAACCUUCACAUCUUGAUAUGACCUACAUUUAUCCAAAUGAUUCUUCAAAUUAGUGGUAUUUCCUCUAUUAGCUGCAAAGGUUUUACGGCAAUGAUGACAUUUUCCUUUGUUUCCACAAGGUAGUUUGGUAAAAUGAGCCCAAACAUUUAAUCUCAAAGGCAUUUUUCUUUUUUUUCCCAUCAUCAACCUCCACCUCUUGCACUUCCUCCUCAUCAUAAUUUUCCAUUCUACACAAACACAAAAUCAUUCAUGCAAAAUUGUGGCAAAUCAAAAAUCAGCAGCAACAAAUCAACACAACAGCAACAACAAAUAAAAAAUCUUGGGGAUUAUAAAAUAAAAAAUAUUAUGACAUUGCGGCACAACUCAAAUUUGUGAUCGUUUAUAUUAAUAUGUCUAUCCUAUUAAUAUUAAGGAGAUAUAUCUAUUCAUAAUUUAUUAAGAGAGUAGUAACUUUAGCAAUUUAUACUACAUGAUUCAUGAAUUAACUUUUAUAUACUCUACAUGAUUCAUGAAUUAACUUUAGCAAUUUGUUCAAACAGAAAAAUAGUAUUAAAGUUCUAUAAUAAAAUCACCUUUUCACCCAUUCGAACACUAUAGUUCUGAAUUCUCAUGUCACCACAAGAUAGUUUAACAUGUGAACAUGAGAAAUAGCUUUCUAUAUUUUUUUUUCUUAAAAUCUGAAAAUAUUAGAUGGGUCCAGUGACAUAUAAAGCUAUAAACAUUUAUCCCAAAAAAAAAAAUUUCAAAAUCACUUCAAUCACAUGAAUUAUGCAAGCAAACAAUAAAAUGGAUUGGAUGAAGGUUUUUGGAAAUUGGUUGAACCCUCUGUAGAAUACAAGCAUGAGUAGCUUUAUCAGACCUUUCAUAUUUCUCAACACCUUGGUCUUUUUUUUUUUUUUUUUGCCUGUUGGAAAAGUUCAACAUCUUCAUUGAAGAAAGUGCUCUUACCUUGUGCAUAAAUCAAUCAUAAUCAAUCAAUCAUAAUAACAAUAGCAGCAAUAAUAACAAUAACAAUAAACAACAGCAAGAAGAAAAUGCUUUGCACCUACACAAAUUCACUUUGUCAAGAAAGUGGAGGUGGAGUGCUAAUAAUCUAAUUGUUAGCUUUAGCAAUUAAUUAAUUAUUUCCACCAACAUUAAUAUAACUAUUGGCUCACAGAGCAGAUCAAGUGACCGCAUGUCUCUAUGCACUUGUCCUAAACUCACAUGACAGCGGCUGCAGCACGUGGCUGAGAGUUUUUGUUGACAGCGACUGCAGUACGUGGUAGCAGCGGCGAAGACUCGGCGACGAGCAGCGGCGGGGACGAGCAGCGGCGGCUGAAGGUCACGCAUUCGGUUUCGGCUGAAGAUCAUAAGUGGUGUUUAGUUUAGACUUUAGGGAUUAUUGGAUUGUUAUUCAGUUCGUUUUUUUUUAAACCGAACUGACUGGUUUUACUAUUUUCAUUAUAUUACUUAUUCGGUUUUUUAUUAAUCAGCUUUUUUUGCCCACUCCUACCUGUAUAUCGUUCUGAAGAGUGUUUAACUUGCUCAUCAAAACGCACAUAUCUCUAUCGUUUGGCUUAAGUGAUUCCAGCUUCAAAACACAAGAUCCUCUGUCGUUUUGAGUUUCUGGAUUUGCUUUCAUCAAAACAAAGGAUUUUUUUUAUCUUUCAAUCAACAGUGCCAAUUUCCUAUUGGGAAUGCAGAAGUGACAUUGAUCUGGUCAUAAAUAAUAACCUGACUUGUCCUACAAAUUCAUUUGUACUAAGAGAAAUCUCUGUUAAGUUUGUUUUGAUGAAUGUUUGUUUACUUGAAAAAAAAAGGCAGCACAGAAGAAUAGAAAUUUCAUAAAAUUGUACUUGGAUAAGGAUGGAGAGAGAGAAAUAUUUAUUUCGAGAUGGCAAAGCGUUCAAGAUAGAUAAAUCGUGAGAUAAUGAAGAAUUACAUUAAAUUAAAGAAUGAAGAUAACAUAAAGAACGGUUAACAUCAUUUAAUUAUUAGCUGGGUAUAAAUCAGCAGGCAAGCGGGGCUUUGCACGAGCAUGCAGUGGCUUAGCCAUUAGGAGGUCGCAUUUUGACUCGGAAAGGUCAACCAUCUCCUCAUCCGAUGGCGCGCUCCAAUUAAAACCUUGAAGAAGCCUUGCCAAAAGCAUUACAGACAUCUCGGACCCAAGUGCCAUGCCCAUGCAACCGCGUCUUCCUCUGCUGAAUGAAAGAAAUCUUAAUUCUGGUUCGGUCAACUCUACUUGAUGAUGAUGAUCAUCCGGUGAACCAAUAUGACGUUCCGGUAUGAAUUUCAAUGGAUCUUUCCAGACGUUAGGGUUUCGGCCAAGCCCUAUCCGGCUCAGCAGAACGUGACUGCCUUUGGGAAUGAAGUAACCGGCGACAGUGGCAUCGCGAGUUGAAACAUGAGGCAGGUUAAACGGUGCCACGGGAUGAAGGCGAAGCACUUCCCUUAAACAAGCCUUGAUAUAAUUGAGCUGCGGGACGUCAGAUUCCUGAACAAGUCUUUCUUUUCCAACAACUCUAUCGAUCUCCUCUGUUGCUUUUUGGAGAAUUUCAGGCUGGUUGAUCAUCUCCGCUAUUGCCCAUUCUGCUGCAUUCGAUGGAUUAUCCACUGUUGCAAGUGUCAGAUCCUGCAAGUACGUACAUAUGUUAAUUUAUCGAUCAGUUAAUUUGUCAUUAAAAUUCGAGACCGCGACCUGAUUAUAUAUAACAUGAGCAAUUAAUAAUAUAAAAAUUAAUGUAUUAAAUAAACAAGAUAUCCAACGUACCAUGCAUUGAGAUUUGAUCUCAUCUAUGGAUAACAAUGGAUCCCCAUUUUCAUCCUUUGCUGAAAUGAGAACAUCUAGCAAGUCCAGGUCGUUGUGAGCUUCCUUCUUGUUGUCAUGAUGUCUCCGUUGUUGUACUCUCUCGUCUAUAAUGGAAUCGUGAUACUUGUUGGCAGUUUUCAUGGCCGCACUUACAAUUUUUUCAUGGCCUUCUAGAUCGAAGACUCUCAUCCAGGGAACGUAAUCUGAAAGAGUGAAGGAAUAAAGGUGUUGGAGUGCAACGAAGAGUGAUUCAACGUGUUCUUCUUCUUCAAAUCCGGGACCUCCAUCUUCUUUUCCUUCGCCAAAGUAUCUCCUGUUGAACAUCAUCUUCCUAAUAACGUUCCCGCAAUAAUGGCGGGUCGCAAGUCUUACAUCUACAACUGUUGCGGCAGAAGCACUUUUGCGGCAUUGGUUAUAAAUGAAUCGAACAAUAUUGUCAGCUUCUUCUCUUCUCUUAGAGAUUAAGGAGUUAAGUCGGGCUGAGCUCAACACGUGAGAAGCAACCAUCUUUCUCAUUUUCUUCCAUUGUUGACCCCAUGGCACGACUGCCACUGACAGGAAUCCACGGCUAGAGUACUCUGUCCCCAUUGUGAGCGGCCUCGUUGCAAAAAUUGAGUCGUUAUCUUUUAGAACUUCCAAGGCAAUUUCUGGGGAAGUCACUGGAAUCACAUGAACAUUUCCAAACCGAAUGCAAGAAAUAUUGGUGUUAAGUUCUUUCAUCACACUGUGUAUCCAUUUGAAGGUCGGCUUAUUCCUCCACAUCUCUGGAAGGUUCCCGACUAUUGGCCAUGCAGCCGGGCCUGGGGGCAGAGGUGGUUGCUUCAUUCUUUUCUGGUCCGUACUCUGCUGGACAAAUUCAUUCAUUUUCAAUCAAAUUAGUUUAUAUGUUGAAUAAAAAUAUACAAUUAUUGUUCCUAAUAAAUAAGUAAGGGAAAUCGAAAAAUAAAUAUAGUAUACCUUGAACAGUUGAUUCUGAACGAAUGAAUACAUGUCCAUCACAUACUUCCGAAUAGUUUCGGAUUUCAGCUGAAAGCUUAUUAGUGUAACAACGGCAACAAGUAGUGUCACCCGAACAAUAUAUGUGGAUUCAAAAAUGGGAUUAUCUUCAAGAUAAGAAAGGAAAUCCAUAAUAUUAAUGAAGGCAAUUUUUAUAACGUUCCCGCAAUAAUGGCGGGUUGCAAGUCUUACAUCUACAACUGUUGCGGCAGAAGCACUUUUGCGGCAUUGGUUAU